CUAAGGAGCAUCUGGCAUCCUUCGGGGUGUCCAGGCGCCAGGUCAAGAACGUCUGUUUCUUGCUGGUUAGCUCAUGGGUGGAACAUUUGACAUGGCAUCAGCGCAGCUGGUCUUGCUUAGUACGGUCUUUGGAUCUGGAACGGUGGGGUUGGUGAGCGGGGUGUCUGCACGCUGUUGGGUCCUGAGGGACCGGGCCGGCCUGCUUCUUUCGGGGAGUGGGUCGUUUCGAACCUCUUGGCCCCUUCUUCUGUUUCCCUUUGGGGUUUCGGUUGUGGGGGACCGCCCGUACUUUGAGAACUACACAGUGGACGCGAGCAUCUUAAAGAAUUAAAUGCUGCCAGUCUUUUCCUGGACUGGUGGUAACUCAUGUGAUU
rnacentral:misc_RNA from 1 species